AGCCCUAACAAAGGGCCAACGGUUUUAUAUUUUAAUUUUCUAUUCCUGGAGUUGUAUAAACUUUAGUUUGCUCCUAAUGAAUAUUUUUAUUUCAUCUCAUAUUUAAUUUCUGUGAUUUUAAGUAUAACGUUUAUACAACUGCUCUUCAUGAUCGUUGAAGUAAAAAUAAGAUAGUUCAUGCUUAAGGAAGAUGCGAUGUGCUGCCACCUUAGAUUAGGGUAGACAUUUCAUGCUAACUAAAGAUGGAUUAUGCUUAAAUUACUUUUGUAAAAUUUUAUUCGAAUGCUUAUUAGGCUUGUAGCCAAUUUGCAUGUUAAUCCAAGAAUAAAUUAAAAUACAAAUAACCUUUGUUCCGAUGUUAGUGGUGAAUUCCUUGCCCUAAGUUCCCUCAAACUGAUAUCAUUUUAAUUGCAUUUUUUAUUAAAUUCCUUAGU
rnacentral:lncRNA from 1 species